rnacentral:rRNA from 1 species
CCUACGGGUGGCAGCAGUGGGGAAUAUUGCACAAUGGGGGAAACCCUGAUGCAGCGACGCCGCGUGAAGGAAGAAGUAUCUCGGUAUGUAAACUUCUAUCAGCAGGGAAGAAAAUGACGGUACCUGACUAAGAAGCCCCGGCUAACUACGUGCCAGCAGCCGCGGUAAUACGUAGGGGGCAAGCGUUAUCCGGAUUUACUGGGUGUAAAGGGAGCGUAGACGGAAGAGCAAGUCUGAUGUGAAAGGCUGGGGCUUAACCCCAGGACUGCAUUGGAAACUGUUUUUCUAGAGUGCCGGAGAGGUAAGCGGAAUUCCUAGUGUAGCGGUGAAAUGCGUAGAUAUUAGGAGGAACACCAGUGGCGAAGGCGACUAUCUGGCACAUAACUGACGCUGAGGAGCGAAAGCGUGGGUAGCAAACAGGAUUAGAUACCCUUGUAGUC